CCUCGUCCCCCUUUAAGGAAAGGCACCUCCCCGGGCUUUCUACCUUCUAGCAGUCUUGUCUCUGGCUCGGUUCCUGGUCUCUCGCUCGGUCGGCUGUCAGGGUGAAAGACGGAGAACGGGAUGCUGCAUCUCUCUGUCGGUGACGGCCGCGCUGUGUCUCCGUUCCUGCUAGCGUGGAGCUCGGUGCUGUGCGGCCUCAGACAUCCAUCUAAAGACCAGGAUCACCCUCUUUUCUUUUCCCCCUCCCUUCCUCUUCCAUGUGACCACCCUUGCAUAGCUGGUAGCCAAUCAGGACGCAGAGUGUGUCAACGUAUCCUGGAUACCAGAAUAGUUGAGGCAGGGCCCCGGCAACCCCGGUGUGGGAGGGGGUGCGGUGUUGGGAUGCCAGGGACAGAUGGAGGAGAAGAGCGGAGGCCACCCAGAAUAAUGGAUGGAUCUCAAGGGAAAUAGUUUCUGUAUGUGUGUUUGUAUGCAAACAGGGAUGUUUUCUGCAUCCAUAUAUACUAUAACUUCUAACUGGUUUCAGAUCUUAUGGUAGACACCAAAGACCAAUGAAUAACAGCUAUAGAUAAGAGAAAAACCAGUUUACUGCACCAAAGUGCGUACAAACAAUGGGCCUCAUUCCCCAAAUGUUCUUAAGAACAAAUUUGUGCUUGACCCCCACUUACAUUUGUUCUUAGGUGAGAACAGAAUGAACACACACCCAAGAGCAUUCGACACACAUAUGAGAGCUGACAUGUUUGCGCAAAACCGUUUUCGUCCAUUCUAAUUUAAAAUGGAAUAUUUCUCUCCUUUAUAAUUUUGCAACUUAUUACUUUUAUUAUUUUACGCCAGCGUUUUGCACUUACUUCUUGCAGCAAUAUCUCCACUUCAGAAUUACUGAAGUUUGGGACGGUUCUCUGAGUGUCCCCGGUCCUACCUUCUCAUGCCCUCUUAUGGGAAUUAAAGCGCGUUGACCUUUGCUGAGCUGAGCAACAAGGCACGAGCUUUCAAUUCACCACAUGUUGGGAUUCAUCAUUCUAAGACGCACCUGCAAACAAUUCCUCUGUUUAGGAACACGUCACGAAUCACACGGGGAACAAAUGUAAGAAAUAACUUCGAUAGACGAUACUGGUGAAUGAGGCCCAAUGUGCUGCAGCUUAGUUCCCGCCCUCACACGUUUGUGGUCCGGGCUCAGGAGGGGCAGCUACAAGCUGUAUCGGGGUCUGGGGAGUGGAGAGAGGUCCCGAUGGAUUCGGUGGAGGAAUUGGAGAAACUAUUGUGACUUCCCGAUGAGAGGGUGCAGUCAUGUGACCAGACAUCAGCGAUGUGAACACCAAUAAACGCUGUGAGAGGAGGGAGUAAACUCGUCUUGUCAUUGACCUUGAGAGACAGACUGUGGUCUUGACAGGGAGCUAGCCGCUCCA
ensembl:lncRNA